rnacentral:misc_RNA from 1 species
UGAAUAAAGAAAAUAUGGCAAAUCAACACCAAUUGCAUUUAGAAAAUAGGCUAAAUCUCCACAAAACAAUCGCCCCUUCUUUGAAUGAUGAAUAUCCUACCUCUAAGACCAUGGCAACCCUAGUUUUAUUCCCCCUAGAAUGAGACAAUUACUUCUGCCUCCUACUACCCACAGUUUAGAGUUCAGAAUUAAUGAAGUGGAUGAUCAAGUAUCUCAUUAACGCUAAGUUGAUGAGCUAUAAUCAAAGUAUAAUGUACACUAGACUUUGUAUGUCAGGUUAAGUUACAAACGCCUAGAGCAAUCGAGUAUAGUACCUGCCUCUGCUUUUCAGGCAACAUGAAGAUCAAUGAGACAUAAUGCUACUUGAAUUUCCUGCUUAUAUUUCUACCCUCGUGCUCCACAAUUUAUCAACAAUUGCCUUUUAAAAGAGAUCAAUCAAUACCAGCAGCCCCAAGUAGAAACACCAAUCAAUUUUAGGCUUCAAUUAAAAACUGAGAUCAGUUUAAUUUGUCAGCAAAUGCCCGCCAUUUGUCUAUUGUUAUUUCUGAUUUUUCAGGGACAUGAAGAACACCGCCUCACAAUUAUUUGGCUGCACCCCUUCCGAACACUUCAACUACAAGGAACUCUCACAACAGCUGCAGGCUUUCCCCUUUCUUGAGAUGGUUCACUCUGACACUGAUUCCUGAACAUUUCUACCAUGAUCGUUGUUAUUAGAAAGAGAAUUACCAGCACUUUGAUCAGACACAAUCAGCAGCGAAUGGCUCUUAACUGGAUUCUGUCUUUGGUGGGUGGAAUUAUCCUCCUGAGCUGUAUCAAUUGAGUCCAGAUAUGAUAUGCCAUAUUUUUGUCCGUGAGUUAAUCCAGGACAAAUCCCCUGCAAAACAUAACCCCAAAAAAAAAACUCAGCAUUAAAAGAUUGUAUCGCCUUCAUCUCCAGAAAAAAAUGAAGAAAUGGUAAAAAAAGGUUUUCAAAAGUGUAUCAUGUAGGAUUAUCACCGCUUCAAUGGUGGGUGGGCAACAUUAAAAAAAAUGAAGGGAUUAAGCGAUGAUAAAAUACAAAAGAAGUCCAGAGCGGCAUGCAUAAAAGCUUAAAAGGAGAAGACAAAACAAAAUGAAGAAACAAAGAAAGAAGAAAAAUAAGGAGAUUCCACAGCAACCUUCAUCAACCCUGAUGUAGCAGACAACUCUUAAAAAGAGGAAUCCAAUGGAUAUCCAGUGUGAACUUGACCUCCAAAGAAUGUACUAGCAUUAGUUUCUUGGGGAUUCAUUGAGAUAUCAGAUUUGGGAGAAUCAUGUUCACUGUCGCCACUUUUACAGUAGGCACCAAAAUAUGAACAAUGUUCCCUUACAAGAGAUAUUUGGGGGGCUGCAGGCAAUAAAUGCCCUUCAGUUGUAAAGAUAUACCUGUAAGUGAGUAGAUAUCGACAAAAGCAAUAGUAAGGAUAUGAGUUCACCAUUGAACCGCAUUACACCUUACACGCUUAAAGCCUUACUUGUAUGGCCCAUUUUCUACAAGGUUAUCUGGACCCGAAGCCAAAUCAAAAAGAAGCCAUAGAUACUUGACCUAAGAAAGUUUUAUCAUAAUUAAUAAAAUGCAAUACAAUAUAAUUAAGGCACACAAGAAUGGAAAUUCAUGAAGCACAACUCAAGUGGAAGGUAAAUACUGUUUCAGCAAGGAAAAAGCUCUCCAUGUGAUCUUCUUUCUUGUGAGACUCCACAUCUGUUAUGUGACAAUAUCCACAAGGGCAUCUCGCUCCAUAUUGCAAGCUGGCAACCAUGUCCCUCCCAGCAUUAAGAUAUCUGGGAUCUCUGGUUGCUUUGUAAAGCCAAUAUGUGCUUUCUAUUAACUCUGGACGGAGUGGGUAACUCUUCUGCCCAUGCUGAACACUUAGAGUAGCAAGAUUAAAACCUUCUGGAGUGAAACCAUAUCUUCUCCAGACACUGAAGAACGCAGCAUGUGUUCGAAUGGCAGGAUCAAUAUCUCUGAAGGCCUGGCCAGAAGGCCUGCAGACUAUUAAAUAAUAGCCAGACAAUAGCAGCAGAAUCCAUAUUUACCUCUACAUACCAAGGAUCAUUAUAAAGAUAGUGCAUAGCAGCUGCUUAAGCUUCUUGGAAAAUUUUCAAAUACUCCUCAUCUCCAAAUAACAAAUAAGCCUUUAAGAGAUACUCAUAGAAAGAGUCAAUACUUGUUCCUAUUCCAGCAUCCUUUUGUGUCCAUUCACCUGUAAAUACAUUAAUAUGAGCACCAACUAAGUUCAGUCCUGAACGACGCGCCCAUAAUCCACGCACAGCAUUCUUGGUAACUUGCUCAAAAACUUGCUUUCAUUUUCAUCAACUCCAAGUAAGAGAUUGACUGACCCAAAUGGAAUUCCUUUUGGAGUAUCAAAUGCAGGCAAUAUUCUCUGAGCAAGAUCCUCUGCUAAGUCAAGCAAUUGAUUGUCAUAUGAUGGAAUUCUCAUGCCUUGCAAUAAGAUGAGCAGAGAGUAAACCUCCAAGGACCCGAAUGGUAGUCUCAAAGACAGAUACUGUUUUAUUUAUAUCAAACCGAAGGUUUUUACCAAUCCAUUCAACAGAGGAAGUGAAUCGCUCUCGGUCACCAAGUAGAGCCAGUGUAUCCAAGGCGUCAAUCAGCGUCAAUGCAUAUCCACCUAGUGUAUCUUCUCCUUCACAUGAUAGAGGUCUUAAUUCGUCAAGUGGAAAAGCAUGUUCCAUGUAUCCAUCAAAAGCAUGAUAAAACAUUUCACGAACCUCGUCCCGGAGAAGUUUGGCUUCGAGAGAAGUGACGCCAUCAGCGAGGGCUCUGGGAAUGAAGAGGAGGUUGUGGUUGGCAGAUAGUAUUAAGAGUAAAACCAAGAAUUCAAUCCAUCGUUUCAAAGGUCUUUCCAUUUGAGUCCUCUCGUCUCACGGCCAACACCAACAUCCGCCUCUUUUGCGUAGAUUUAAGAAUUAAGAUUAAAGAGUGAAACUCUUUCAACAGUUGACAGCUAUUUGCACCGCCGCUACCCUGUUUUGCUGGGAAAGCUAAAUUCUGUCCAAACUCAGCCGUUAAGCAUAUAACACGAUCCGACCCCCUUAACAAAAGAUAACAUUUGUUUUUUU